GUAACAAGGUUUCCGUAGGUGAACCUGCGGAAGGAUCAUUAUUGACCUGCGGAGGAGCAUAUCAAUAAGCGGAGGAAUAGUCCGGGGGUAAGCCUGCGGCUUCCUUUUCCAACAACCUUUCUCUUUACCAACACAACCAACCCUUGGGCACCUACUGGAGGGCCCCGAAAGAGGAUCUAUGUCUUUUCACAUCCCCCACCUAUUGCAUGUCUAUAGAAUGUAUUGAAAGGGUUGUUGACCCAUCUUGAUGGGCCAGGGGCCAAUAUAGUAAAUCAUACAACUUUCAGCAACGGAUCUCUUGGCUCUCGCAUCGAUGAAAAACGCACCGAAUUGCGAUAAGUAAUGGGAAUUGCAGAUUUUCAGUGAAUCAUCCAAUCUUUGAACGCCCCUUGGGCUCCUUGGUAUUCCGAGGAGCAUGCCUGUUUGAGUGUCAUCGAGUUCCCAACCAUGUCUUUGAGGGCAUUGGCUUGGAGUUGGGUGUUGCUGGCAGCGAUGAACUUGUCAGCUCUCCUGAAAUGCAUUAACAAAAGGGCUUGCAAGUCUUUUUGACGUGCACGGCCUUCCACGUGAAAAUGAUCGUCGUGGCUGGAGCGUCAAGGAAAUGCAUUUUUGAAUGGUCCUGUGCUUCUAAUCCACCUGCCCGUAAUGGGCCAGCUACUAAUUAGUUUGGUCAAUUGGGGCUUGCUUUGGAAACCUGACCUCAAAUCAGGUAGGACUACCCGCUGAACUUAAGCAUAUCAAUAAG
rnacentral:rRNA from 1 species